CCUACGGGAGGCAGCAGUGGGGAAUCUUGCGCAAUGGGCGAAAGCCUGACGCAGCAACGCCGCGUGCGGGAAGAAGGCUUUCGGGCUGUAAACCGCUUUCAGCAGGAACGAAAAUGACGGUACCUGCAGAAGAAGGAGCGGCCAACUAUGUGCCAGCAGCCGCGGUGAUACAUAGGCUUCAAGCGUUGUCCGGAUUUAUUGGGCGUAAAGAGUUCGUAGGCGGUCAAGUAAGUCGGGUGUGAAAAUUCUGGGCUCAACCCAGAGACGCCACCCGAUACUGCUUAACUUGAGUUCGAUAGGGGAGUGGGGAAUUCCUAGUGUAGCGGUGAAAUGCGCAGAUAUUAGGAGGAACACCGGUGGCGAAGGCGCCACUCUGGAUCGAUACUGACGCUGAGGAACGAAAGCAUGGGUAGCAAACAGGAUUAGAUACCCUGGUAGUCCAUGCCGUAAACGGUGGGCACUAGGUGUGGGUUUCUAUUAACGAAAUCCGCGCCGUCGCUAACGCAUUAAGUGCCCCGCCUGGGGGAGGUACGGUCGCAGACUAAACUACAAGAAGUAGACGCGNGAGACGUCGCCGACGGCGACGACGAGGGAGGUAGG
rnacentral:rRNA from 1 species